rnacentral:rRNA from 1 species
UGCAUCGGAACGUGUCCCGUAGUGGGGGAUAACCCGGCGAAAGCCGGACUAAUACCGCAUAUGCUCUAAGGAGGAAAGUGGGGGACCCCAAAGGGCCUCACGCUAUGGGAGCGGCCGAUGUCCGAUUAGCUUGUUGGUGGGGUAAUGGCCUACCAAGGCGACGAUCGGUAGCUGGUCUGAGAGGAUGAUCAGCCACACUGGGACUGAGACACGGCCCAGACUCCUACGGGAGGCAGCAGUGGGGAAUUUUGGACAAUGGGGGCAACCCUGAUCCAGCCAUGCCGCGUGCGGGAAGAAGGC